AAGCGCCGCCAAGGGUUCCGUAUUCCACUUCUCCCCGCUCGAGACAGCACGAGACGGCGAUGGCGUUCUCCUCCUCCUUCGCCCCCUCGGGAGCCUUCUACUACGACCCCUCCUCCCUUCCCGCAUCUCUCGGCACCCCCCGCAUCGGCUCCGUCGAGGUCAGGGCUUUAGCGUUCCGAUCCAACCCCAACCCCGCUCUCGCUUCUUCCCCGAAAGAAGCCGUCUUUUUGGCCGCUUUUUUAGCUCGAGGCGAUGGGGGUUUCGCCCAGACGAGGAAAUGGAGUUGCUUUGCGGGCCUUGAUGGUGAUAAUGGUGCCGGCGAUGACGGAGGAUCCGGCGAUCGAGCUGGCGGCGGAGAUGGCGGAGACGAAGGCGACGGUGAGGACGGUAGCGACGAGGCCGAGUUCGGCCCGGUGAUGAAGUUCGAGGAGGUGAUUCGGGAGACGGAGGCGCGUGGCGCGAGCCUGCCACCUGAUCUGUUGGAGGCGGGCAAGAGCAUUGGGAUUCGCAGGGUUCUUCUCUCGAGAUAUUUGGAUUUGCAGGGGUCAUGGUGGCCGAUUGGUGUUGCCAUCAGGCAUUGCUCGUUGCUUCGGAAUCGGAUGCUUGCCGACCCAUCGUUCCUUUUUAAAGUGGCAACGGAGAUAGUUAUUGAUUCUUGUUGUGCGACGUUCGCGGAGGUUCAAAAGAGGGGAAAGGAUUUUUGGACGGAGUUUGAAUUGUACGCUGCAGAUCUUCUGGUCGGGAUAGUUGUCGACAUUGCUCUAGUGGGUUUAUUGGCUCCCUAUGUAAGAAUUGGACGGCCAUCUGUGUCAGCUUCUACUGGGUUUUGGGGAAGCCUCAAGCGUGGUUUUGAAGCUUUGCCUAGUAGUGUUUUUGAAGCUGAAAGACCAGGCUGCAAAUUUACUAUUCGGCAACGGAUUGGGACAUACUUUUACAAGGGAGUUCUAUAUGGAUCAGUUGGAUUUGUUUGUGGUAUUGUAGGCCAAGGCAUUGCCAACCUAAUAAUGACUGCUAAGCGGAGUGUAAGGAAAUCUGAUGAAGAUAUACCUGUUCCACCACUUGUUAAAAGUGCUGUUCUUUGGGGUGUCUUUCUAGCAGUAUCUUCUAAUACUCGCUAUCAGAUUAUUAAUGGCCUAGAGUGUGUGGUUGAGGCAUCACCAUUUGCCAAACGCAUCCCACCUGUUGCUAUGGCUUUCACAGUUGGAGUUCGUUUUGCCAACAACAUCUAUGGGGGUAUGCAGUUUGUGGAUUGGGCUCGAUGGAGUGGCGUUCAAUGAGGGUAUAGAAAGACCCUAUUAUUGGAAAGCCUGCAGUGUUAUUACUAAAGCGAUAUUAUCACAUUGCUUUUGUUGAUGAUGUUUUCCGGUGCCAUGCAGCAAUUGGCAUCAGGUCACAGGGUAGUUCAACAAAGAGAAGUUUGUUAUCUGAGUGAGGGAACUGAGAAAAUUGCUUCUUUAUCAUCUUCUUCUUGCAUUUCAAUCAUCGGAUGGCUGAUGUCCCAUUAAUAUUAUCUUAUUAAUCACACAGACACCUCAUCCAUGAAGAACACGAGGCUAGAUUGGUUUUUUAUCAUCUGAUUGCAGAUAUAACUAGGACUCUCCCCCUGCUAGAAGUCUAAUUGCAGUGUCUAUGAAUCUUUAGGCUGUGUUCCCAUGCCUGAACUCAAGUAACUCCGAUUCCAUAUGUUCUUAUUUUAGACUGUGUUCCUCUAUGAUCAUUUGCUGAUUUAUUAUCUUCAAUCAUAUCUUGGUUGUCUCAGUUCACUGGUAUAAGGAGCAAAAUCUCACCAUGGGACAAAUGACUGAUUCACUCUCAGACCUUACUCUCAACUUUUGCUCCUAACUAUUUUUAGAUUUUGCAGGAUUUAUCUGACUCUUUUGACAGAUUCUCCCCUCCUUGUGGUGAUCCUCCUUGAUGAGUUUUCAAUGUGAAUCAAAUUCACUGCAAAUAUAGCAUCUAUGUUGAUGCACAGAGGCACACAGCUUUGUCCUACCUAGCAGCACAAUGAAUAGAAACUAUUGAUUGGUUACCAUUGACAUGUUUACAAAGUAACCUUCAAGAAGUGCCUUCCCCUCUUGGCAAGUUGGAAGAUUUAUGUGCAUAUGAUGGAUUCCAAUGCUGCAUAUGGUACUAAGUGCACAAAUGCACUCAGAACUUGUACAUACCUCUUUGCUAAGCAGCUGAUUCUUUCCUCCUUCACCUGCUGGUCUAAACAUAUGCUGUUCAUACCAUCCUUUCAUCAUGUUUACUUGGACAGUCUAAUGCAAAUGGACUAUCAAGCUUGAUGAAUUCUUUCA